rnacentral:misc_RNA from 1 species
UUUCCGUAGGUGAACCUGCGGAAGGAUCAUUACUUAUGUAAUGGGGGGAAGGGAAAAAAAAAAAAAAAAAAGCAGUUUACUGUCUCUCUUUUUUUUUUUUUUCCUUCCAUUCAACCCAUCAUCUCUUUACUGUGAAAACAUGGCGGUUAUAUAACGGUGACCGGUAUGAGGCUAUAUGGAUAGGCCUUUACCUGGAUAUGAUCCAAGCCAAUCAUUACCAAUAUUAUGGCCUGUAAAAGGGUUAUAAAGGCGGUUAAUGGUAUCCAACAAAUAUAAUAUACCUUGAAAUUCAGUUAAUAUCAACGGAUCUCUUGGUUCUCGCAUCGAUGAAGAACGUAGCAAAGUGCGAUAACUAGUGUGAACGUAGCAAAGUGCGAUAACUAGUGUGAAUUGCAUAUUCAGUGAAUCAUCGAGUCUUUGAACGCAACUUGCACUCUAUGGUUUUCCGUAGAGUACGCUUGCUUCAGUAUCAUAAAGACCCCAUCCUGAUUAUUAUUUUUUUAUUAAAAUAAUUAAUUUUGGAGAUAAUAAAAAUGAGGCUCUUUCUUUUCUUUUUUUUUUUUUUUAAAAAAAAGGUGGGAAAAGGUCUUGUAAGAUUGGGCAAAGUCUUGGUUAUUUACUUAAUCUUGACUCGCCUAAAAAAUUAAAAAAAAAAAAAAUGGUUAUUACAACUUUUUUUUUUUUUUUCUCCUUUUUGUGUAGUUAAUACUCUAUUAAAUUUAUUUACUUGGUAUUAUAACGAUUAUGCAAGAAGGGAGAGAACAAAGAAUAAUGAAAGAGUUUUUUUAAAUAAAUUCUUUUUUCAUUUUUUCAAUCAAUGAUCUGAAGUCAAGUGGGAUUGAUCUGAAGUCAAGUGGGAUACCCGCUGAAUUUCAAU